AUAUGGCUCGUGGACAGCAGAAGAUUCAGUCUCAGCAGAAAAAUGCCAAAAAGCAAGCUGGACAAAAGAAGAAACAAGGACAUGACCAAAAGGCUGCUGCCAAAGCUGCCUUAAUAUAUACCUGCACUGUCUGUAGGACACAAAUGCCAGACCCUAAGACCUUCAAGCAGCACUUUGAGAGCAAGCAUCCUAAGACUCCACUUCCUCCAGAAUUAGCUGAUGUUCAGGCAUAAAGUUGUUUACAGGUGAAUUCGUGACACCUUUGACUCUUCUCCUGUCUCAGACCUUAGUUGCUUAUAAAUUUUAAAUGGGAAUAUUGAGUGAGGAUCGGAGACAGGACGCCUUCAUCACAUUUGGAUUUGAGAUGUGCAUCUGACAGCAGGGUGUAUUUACGCUGUCCACAAGGUAGCACUCCCUGGAAGAGGCACUUGUGCAAAUGCAUUGCUGGACCGGGACAUCCAGUCUGUAUACAUCUAGAAAGUCCUAUGCCCAGUGGUCAACCUAUUGACAAAGACUGCUCCUGAACUAAACUGGGUCACUGUGAUUUAAAACACCUUGCAAGCUCUAACUACAAAGCUCACCAACUCUAUAUAAAACCAGAUUUUAAUUGGCUUGUGUUAGGCUCUAAUAAGAAAGCCUGCCACUUUAACAAAAUGCCACAGACUGCUGGUAUAUGCAAAAGCUCCCAGUGUGAGGGAGGCCUGCAGCUUGAUGUCACGGCUCAACUUUCAAUGCCAUUUCCAUAAAGAGUGUCAACAUGACCGUAGAAAGUGAAGUUUACUAGUAUUUUUUGGUUUGGUUCUUGAAAGUCUAACUACAAGCCUAAGAGAAUAAAUCUACUUGUUGUGGGCUGUUGUGACUACCAUCAGAUUCCUGGGAGAAGACAGAUUAGAAGGAAAAAUGCAUUUCGAAGAAAAUACUUUUAAUGCAUCAAGACAAUGAAGUGACCUUUAAGUCCAAACAUAGAGGUUUGGCGCUCUCAUAUUCUAAGCUGGUUCUUUAUUAAAAUAAUUAUAAUAAAAUAAGGGAAAAGUCCAGUGUCAAACAUUUCCACUUAAAGGGUUGAAACUAGCUGGUGCCCAAUUAACCUGUGUCCAGAGCUGAUUUUUAGCCGUACCCACCUGUAUGGCCCUGCCAGUUACCAUAUCAAAAUACUUCUGUCUAGUUAGGAAUAACCACUGGCCUGACUACCCCAAGUGAUGCCUACUGCUUCAGCCAUCCUGUCCCUCAGCCCCCCACCAGCCUCCUCAUGAUGCAGCAGUUAGAGGGGUGACACCUGGCACAGAAGGGGCUUGUUGGACCACAUACCAGCACUGGUCCAGGAUCUGGUCUGAUUAGCCCAUGCCCUACUAGUUGUUAAAUACCAUAUUUUGAAUGUUCAUCCCUGUCUUUUUCAAGGAUGGCUGAACGGCACAGCAGUGGAUAAUCCAAAAACCUACAUUUGGCAAAUUUUUUCUUAGUACUGAGUAUAGGAAUGUGAUGUAUGAUUAAAAUGGUCAAAUGCCAAACUGCUGGGAACACCAAACCUCAGGCAGAACAUCACAUGGUUGCUUAGCUCUCUGAACUCUUCUGUACUGUUGUACCUUCUCUUUUUUUCAUAUACACAAUUUUUUUUUCCACUGCAGCCUGAGAGGACAUUGCCCGUUUUGUUUUGUCCUUUUAUCAUUAGAUCUUGACGUGGGUACCUUAAGUCAUGUAGUGUCAGUGUCAACAGAAUACUGCCAAUGACAAGAUCGCUGUCAAACUUGAUCUCCCCAAGCUACUGUUUUAACACUGAGAUCCAUUUACUUUUCUUUUAGGGAAAGGUAAAAUGUAAUUCUGCCCUGUGGUUUACUGCUCCUACCAGACCUUUUGUUAGUCUCCCAAAGAUGUAGCUAUCUGUUCUUUUAAAGUCUGGGGGGCAGUGACUGUUUCUUGUCAUUUGGAAUGAAGCAGUGUGGUGUGAGAAUUUGGAACAUGGGCUCUGAACUCGCCUGUGUUUGAGUUUCAACCCUGCCCCUUACCUAUGUGACCUUAGGCAAGUCAUUCAACGUAGCCAUAAAAUAAGGAUGAUAAAAAGUUAAUUACCUCUUAAAUGUGAUAAAAGUAUUAUUAAGUGCUUGGAGCAGAGUAUUCAAUAAAUGUAAGCCAAACACAAUAAGCAACCUAAUUAUCUGACCCCAUAUAAGCUGUUUGAAUGUUUGGUGUCUGAAUUGUUGGAGAGUGCCAGGGAACGUUGGGAAAGUCACUUGAUCCUUCUGAGUUUUAGUAAAAUGAACAUAAUACCUACGUCCCAAUGUUGUUUUGAGGCUUAAAUGAGAUCAUGUGAAAUAACCUAUAGGACAGUUUACUCAACAAAUAAUUACUGAGUGCCUUUAUGGGGUACAGCAAUGAAGCAGAUACACAGUUUUGGUAUUCAUGGAGUUUACACGGAGCAGGACUAAAUAAAUACUGAUUUUCAAUCAGAGAAGGCAAAGAAAUGCCACAUAUAUAUAUAUACAUACAAGUUAUAAAAUCGCAUAUGGUUCUCUUUCCUGAAGAGAGCAGGUUUUAUCCUCUACAAAAUUACUAAAGCUUUCUAGUCACUAGCUGCUGCAAACAUUAUGUCACUAGUACCAAAACAAGGGGCAGGAGUUGGUGACAGGGAUUUAUAGAUGCCUGAGCAUGAAUUUAAGCUGCCUUUCUGGAGCAUGGACCUGAGUUGUGCCAGAAUUGAUCAGGUCUGCAAGUGGUUACCCAUUCUCCUGUGGGAACAAAUGUGAAAUGAAAUCUGGACUGGAUCACUACCUAUAGUGAUCUGGAGCCCUGGGGGGUAAACCAGGGCUCCAGGGCAUAGGUGGUAUUUUGUAAUCUCUCUUAGUUGAAGGUCAUGCCUGGAAAAGGGGUGUGGGAAGUGAACAGAUGGUUUUAUACAUAGUGUCAAAUAGGAGACUUUGUUGUUCUGGACCCUGGUUUAUAGUCUCAAAUCUUUCAAGGUUCUGAAGGGGCCCCUGGGAAGCCGAUGUCAAAACAGGAUUGGAAUUUUUAACAGAUUAGGGGGAGAGCCUGUGAAGGAUAAAAGGGGGAGAGCGGGAAUAGCCUAUAAAAGCCUUUGGACCAUGGUGCAGUUCUCAAACCUGUGAAGGGAGAAAGGCGAGAAGAAGGGAAGAAUGGGGUAGCAAAACCCUCAGAUUGCAGUGCAGUUCUGAGCAAGCUUCUGCCAGACCCAUGGGGUGCCCUCAGAAGCUGCCCAGGAGAGAAACCCCGUGUGGGGCAGGGAUGGGCCAGCACUCUCCCCUCGCUCAGCUGUCAGUGGCUGCGGGCAGCCUGGGGAAGGGGUGGAGAGCAUAGCCUAGCAUGAAGACAGUAGUAGGUCCAAACAGGCAACCGCAGGGGCUAUCAGUCAACUAGACUUCCCACAGCUGGUUGGUUGUCUUGAAGGAGAUCUUAGCAGUACGCUUUCAGGGGUGCUGCAGACCCUAAACUGCAUACCUUUUUUGGGGAACUGUGGCAUAUGGAGAUAGGCCCUUAAGCAUCCUAUAGGUGAAAGGACCCAUAUCUAGAUCACUGUUAAGUUUUGAUCAUCUAUGUAUCAGGCACUGGGGCUGCAACCCGGAGCAUGAUAGAAGGGUCCCUGCCUUCAGGCAGCUUGUAGUCUGCUGGGCAGACAGGUAGCCCGGUGCCAUGAGAGUAUCACAGGUGUAUGUUCCUCCACAUAGGGUGGUCAUCAGGUCCCUCUCUGGAGGCCAGGUAACCUGGGCUUUGCAGGCUGAGGAAAUAGCAAGUACAGAGGGCCGGAGGCAGGAAAGAACUUAGCCUAUUCUAAGAAUGGGAAGAGGGCUUAUAUAUGCUGGAGAGAAGCAAACACUCCAGGGAUAGAGUGGCAUGGGCUGAGGUUUAGAGGUGAGCAGGAGACAAGGCUUUGGUGGCUGUGGUGAGGCUUUGGGGCUUUAUUUUAAAUGCAAUGGGAAGAACUGAAGAUGUUCAGAGCAGGAGAGUGACAUGCUGUGACUUACAUCUUGUCAAGAGCAUUCUUCCUGCCAUGUGGACAGUCACUUGGAAGGCGAUGAGUGUGGUAGUGGAGACAGAUUAGGAGAGUAUAACUAACUCAAGCAAAAGACGUUGGAGACUUGGACCUGAGUGGGGGCAAUAGAGAAGUGGGCUGAUGUAGAACGUAUUUUAGAGGUAGAACCACCUGGGCCUACUGAUGGCUUCUCUGUGGACGAAAGAAAAGGGGGAAUCAAAGAUGACUCAGAUUCCUGGCUUAAUCAGCUGAGUGGAGGGUGAUGCCAUAUACUGAGAUGGUGGAGAAUAUGAGAGAAGGAACAGAUUUGGGAGGAGUUUGCCAAGAAAAUUAGUAACUCACCUUUGGACAUGUUUGGGAUGUGUGUUAGCCAAGCGGUAAUGUCCAGUACAUUGUACUUGAAGCAAGUAUGUCUCGGUGGACAUAUGCUCGGUGGACAUAUUCUGGGGGCUGCAGGUAUAAAUUCCAGAACUGUCAACCUGUGGAAGGUAUUGAAAGCUGUAGGACUGGGUGAAAUCACUUAGAAAAGAGAAGAGGUAGUAGGCCCAAGCCCUGAGGAACCCAACAUCCAGAAGUUAGGUAGAGGGCGGCUAGGAGGCAGGAAAGGAGAGAAGAACUGGCAUUGGGGAUGAGGUCAAGCAACACAGAGAGGGGGUUCCUUCAGGGAGGGAACACUCGCUGUCCAGUGCCGCAGAGACCAGGGCCAGCGAGAUGGAACGAGAAACGUCCUGGCAACACCAGGACACACUGGUGAUCUUAACACGAUCAUCUUCAAGUGUGUCGUGAGGACAGAAGGCAGAUUAAUGGGAGAUGAGAAAGUAGAAACAGCCUGUUUAGACCUCCUGAUUCAAGAGUUUUGUUGUGACAGGGGACAGAGAGGAGGAGGACCUGGGGUCUGGGGAGUCUUAAAUUCUCAUUUAGGUAGAAGUUGUGAAAAGAACAUUGCAACUCAUACUCUUCACCCCACUUCGCUGGGAUUAGAUUCUCAAACAAAAAGAGAACGCAAGCCGCCCCCAGCUACUACUGGGUGGGCAGUGCCCGGGUCAGCAGGGCUGCCGCUGCUCAGGACCGUCAGGGUGGCCGGGCCCUGAGGGACUGGGAGGCAGGUCCCCGUCAGCAGGAAACCAGUGUCCAAGAGCCCUUGGACGUUGGGUCUGAGUGGUGUCCUUGAGGCGUCUGACCAGCUGUGAGGUGGUGGAUCCGAGGCUCCUCUAAGAAUGCUGACUGGUAAGUAAGGCUGCCUCCGAGGACUCGAAUAAAGGCACUGUAACAGGAGGGGCAAGAGGCCUUCUCCCACCUCAGCAAAUGCGAGCAGCAGCUACAGGCAGGACAAAGGUCAGCACUGGGGACUUACGAACGUUAAGACUGACACUGGACAAGUAAUGAGGUCUGGCUCUGAGAUCCAGCUGCGCCGUGACCCGCCAUCGAGGGCUUCCUGGCCGUGGGGCAGAAAGCACCACCACGUGUCAGCAACACGGUCGGUCACGAGCCCAAGCCAUCUCUUGUCAAUUCCUUUGUAAGGGUUUCCGAAACUCCUGAUUGCCUUUGGCAGGCGGAUGACCUAGGGAACAACUGUCAUGGCAGGGGCCACAACUCACCCUGUGAAGGUCAGGGAAGAUGUGCUUGUCAGAGUUGCAGUAACUUCACCAAGACUUGAGCUGGAAUUCGCGAAGGUGGGAAAGCCACUCAGGUGAAACUAUAGCCCUUGGCUAUUCGUUCAUCAGAGAACGUGGGACAUAGUGAGCGAUUGAAGAAUCCCUUAAUUUGCAUGGAAAAAAAAGGGAAAAUCUGAUUUCAAGUUAGGAGGUUGUGAGUAUUAAGCAAAGGGAACUUGAGAUGUUAACGCCUGGAAGAAAUCAGUAUUUCCCAGAUACCCCUGAAACAGAGGGCUCAGACUGGAAUAUGGAAGCCCUGAAAUAAGGGGUGGCAGAAGGGCAGUAAAUGUCCAAAAAUGAUAAAAGUACACAGAAAGCCGGAACCCUGCAUGAAGAAGUGUGGUGGAGAGUAUCUGGGUGGAGGUGAAGGGAGAGAGUAUCAGAAGUGAUCUCACCAUGCGGGCUCCGUAAAACUUAGGGACCGCAGGCCAUUACCAGCGUCCGUAGGCCAUGGCUUCCGCAUCCCGAAUCCAAAGAGGGGCAAGAUGUGGUAAAAAAUAAGAAUGUAUUUCAGCUCUUUGAACCCUUACUAGAACGUUCACUCUGCCAAAAGAGUGCAUUUGUUAGAUUUUUGACACGUCGGUUUCGUCUUUGAGAAGAUGAAGGAAAGGUGAGGGUCAAGCAUCUAGAUAUACUUCUCACCAAGAAGGAAAAAUGCCUCAUUGCCAAGAUCACAGCGAUGCGUAGAAAGGUAUUGAGACCAAAGUGGAAAAGUGUGAAAACUCAAACAAAAAAGAGCACAAGCUGUGCCCAGCUUCUAGCCAGGGAGGGCCUGGAUAAGCAGAGAUAUCGCUCCGAGACAGGGCAGAGUCCAGCUCUGCGGUCUAGAAGGCUCGCCUUUCAUGAGGUGUAGAUUACAGAGUUUAGAAAACUAUAGGUAGGAUUUCAUGGCCAGAAACGAAAAAGGGACUAUGGUGCAAAAGAGAUGGAGUCCUAAAGAAGGCCCUUCUGUCACACGAGCACAUGGUUGACCUGAGGAGGAGGUGGCUCAGGUGCCUCGCAGACCCUGAGCGUGAUGGAGCUCUCCAGUGGACGGUGGGAACCGGCAGGAAGGCCUAAGCCAGUGAGACUGAGGCUUUCCAACCAGGGCUAGUCAAUACUUAGAAAUUGUGUGCAAAGGUUAAGGGAGGAGGAGAGUGAGAAGAAAUAGCAGAACCCUGUGUUGGGGAGGGAUAGGUAAAGACAGACCCCAGAAAUGAUGGGCACCACCCAGAAAACAUGGCUUGGUCAGUGUGUUUCUCUGGUCCAGAAUCAGGCUUUUUUCCUGUUGGGUCUACGGGUCAAGGGGCAGACCUGAACUCUAAGCCAGCCCUGGUUGGUCAGGCUCACACCUGACACUGAAAAGCUCUACUUUGAAUACCCUAAACUGUGCUCAGUAUGUGUAGUUCAUGUGUGUUAUGAGGCCACGUGCCGCUGUCUAAGUCUGUGAGAUGGCAACAUCAGAAUUGCUUGGCCCUUGUGUUACCAAUGCAGAUUCCUGGUCGCCCUUACCUUCCUUCUCUCCCCAACCAAUUCAGAACACCUAAGCGUGGAGGGAGCUCCAGGAAUCUGCAUUUCAAACAUGGUCCUCAGAAGGUUCUAUCCAGAGAGAAUUUCAGAACCACUGGGCUGAGUCAAGCCUGCCAGCACCUCGUUGCCCAGGGCCCUCAUGAGUGUGUGGGCUUACAGCCUGAAAGUGCCUUUUUAUCUGCCAAAGCAUGGCAGCAACCUAACUUAUGGGCCCUCUAGAUUACCUAUAGAAUAAGGCCUUUAAAAAAAAAAGUUAUACUUUCUAAUGGUUAGAUUUGCAGUGAUUCUUGCAAUCCUGCACAUUAGAAAAAUACAGAUACCCAGGCCACACCUCAGACCAGUUAAGUCAGAAUAUCUGGAGUGGGGCCCCAGGCAUGGUAUUUUUGUGUUUUGUGGGGUUUUUCUCGUUUUUUUUUUUUUGUUUUAAGCUUUCUAAGCAGUUCUGAUGUGCAGCCAGGGUGGAGAACCACUGCUGCUUAAAUGUUAGAAAAAUGUAACACUUUUUUAAAGGCUGUAUUCUACAUGAUACCUGUUUCUUUUCAAAUCAACAGAUAACUCCUCUCCAUUUCUUCUCCAUCAAAAAUAGUGCUCUCAGAAUUAGAAAGGAUGAAACAAACAUGGUUAAAAGAGAACAACACUCCAUAUAAGUGGCUGUACAAAAUAUAUUGGUCUCUAGGUCCUAAAAACUUGCUUUCAGGGCACUGAAAAGAUUUGCAGAUAUAACUGAGUAGCCGUAAGCUCUCACCGCUCGUGAGAAAUGAGUGACCCAAAGACAGGACCCAAGAACACAGCAACCCGGUUGUCCAAAAGGUGACUCAUGGACGAUACAAGCCAAUGAGUUUCAAUCUGUCUUCCUUGAAAAAAAUGUAGAAUGCUUAAUUAAAAAGACAAUUUAUGAAACUUUAUUAAAAAAGGAAUCAGUAAGGAAGGGUAGACCAUUCCUAUUGGGGUAAAUUAGGGGGGCGUGCUGGUGAUGGAGGUUAUCCCUACAUCUGACAAGUUUACUCAGAAUAUCCUCACUCUAUGGUGGUGGAAUGAAGACUGAGUUAUUUUGCAGUUUGUGUGAAUUUACAGCUGCUUGAACAACCAUAUCCCAAGGGGUCUUCUUUCUACUUCUAAGAUUCUUUGAAAGCUAUAGUUGUUAAAUUCUUUAUUAUGGAAAUGAAUUUUUACGUAAAGAAUAUUGUCCAAAGUGAUGUUAUCCUCUAACCCUGGAGUACUGUAUGUAUACACAUAUACACAUAUAUACACACACAUAUCUGGGGGGGCUUAGCCCAACGCAGAUUCUUCCACAUUGCUCCUUUCCAAAACCUCUCCCUUUCCCUGUAACACUGUAAAAUAAUAUAUAACAGACUUGGCUUUGGCUCCUUGGUCUCUUAGUCCAGCCUCAGCUGUUGUUUUUCAUCUUUAACUUUGGUGACUCACUGGUGCUCAGUUCUUAUCCAGAUAUUGUGGAGAACCAUUUUAGCACAGCCGAGCUGAUUUCUGUUCCCCUAUAGGUGUCCAGGGCCCAGCCUGCUGUCAUGCGUGUGCGUCCACAUUCUCUGUCUCUGCGCAGGCUCACCAGCUCGUAAUUGAGCAGACGGGCUCUAAUAGCAUUCUGCAGAUGUAGCCGAGGACUAUAUUUUGGAUACGCUCGCUCUCCCAAACAAUCUCCUGUGAAAAACCCCGUUUUUAUCCCUACUUAGUAGACUAAUUUCCCAAUCACAUGAAUUUGCUGGAAUAGUUUUGGAGAAAACUAGAUUUAUUGAAGAGCUGCUGGGUCCUUCAAAAAUGUCUUUACCCCAGAUAGUAAGAAGGUAAAACUGAGUCAAGAAGGUGCAUUUGUUAGACUAUUGGUUCAGCUGCCUCUAACAGAGACCUACAGUAUCAGUGGCUUAAACAAUAUCGAGGUUUAUUGCUCUUACUAAUAGGCUGAAGGUUGGCCAUCUAGGACUUACACAGUGGCUCCAUGAUGUCAGAGACCGAAGCUCCCCUUGUCUUACUGCUUCAUCAUUCCUAGGGGAUGGCCCUCAUCGGCAUGGUCGAGAUGUCCACAUCCUCGGCCCAGGCAGGAGAGAGAGGCAGAGCAUGCUGCCUCCCCAGAAGAUGCUCCCAGCACUUAACCAACCACAGGAAAAGCUGGGAAAUGUUGUCUUUAUUUUGGGCAACCAGUAAAAGCAGAUUCUCUUAAGAGGGAGGAAGGGAACAGACUUUGGGGAACAACAAGUAGUCUCUCCAGCAUAUUCCUGGAAAAUAGAACAUUUCAGAGGGGGAGUGGGCGGGCCAGGGAGGGAGGAAUCAUUACCUCAUCCGAAGAACGACAUCUGGCUUAAAAAGUGUCUAAGUCACCAUCAAAAAGGCUGUGCUCCCCCUGGUUUUCCUUUAGAGGGGGAACACUCCCUGUCGCAGGAGCUCUUCCUCCUGGGACUCUGGGCCCAGUGUGUGAAGUGGCCGUGCAGUUACUGACCCGCCCCCAAUCAGAGCCGGCCCACAGCACCCUUAGGAUACGUGAGGACGGCAAACAAGAUUCUGGGCUGGGAGAAUGGUCAGGAACUGGAAGGAGGAGAUUCUUCCAGCAGCAAAGCUAAUUAAAAGGAAAAGCCUGUUUUCCAAGGGCGCCUCUUCAAUAUGCGAGCAUCCUGCCUUCUCACCAUUACCUGCCUCACUUGUCACCAAAAUGCAAUCCAUUCCUGGUCGCUUCCACCUUUAGACUUUGCACAUCCUUUCCUCAGUGCUCCUUCCUUUAUUCCUCCAGCUGCUUAAACCAUUUUCUCAAGCCUUUGAACAACACACAUACACUCUCCUUCCCCCACAUUCUUUUUUAAACAAAGAGAAUUCUGCUUUCUGUUACAAAAAAAGAAAAAAAAAAAGAACCCAAAG